rnacentral:rRNA from 1 species
UACGUAGGGGGCGAGCGUUGUCCGGAUUUAUUGGGCGUAAAGAGCGUGUAGGCGGCCAGGUAGGUCUGCUGUGAAAACUCGAGGCUCAACCUCGAGACGUCGGCGGAAACCAUCUGGCUAGAGUCCGGAAGAGGAGAGUGGAAUUCCUGGUGUAGCGGUGAAAUGCGCAGAUAUCAGGAAGAACACCCCGUGGCGAAGGCGGCUCUCUGGGGACGGUACUGACGCUGAGACGCGAAAGCGUGGGGAGCGAACAGG